ensembl:lncRNA
UUAAAGUCAAAUCAACCCAUCGAAUCAUGGGCAUCAGUUUGUGUGAGGAAAAGUGGUGAUACUAAGUAAAACAUUAAGGGAUUCUAUCUCGAAUAAAAAACCCGGGAAUAGCAGCAAUGCAGCAUAUUUAAAAACUAUAAGAGAGUUAAAAAACUGAUAAAUUAUUACAGUCAGUUCUGUGUAUAAACACAGAACUGACUUUUUGAGUAUAUAUCCACCUGUGUUUUUUAAUUAUCGUUUCAAAAUGUGAAAAAGGUUAUUUAACUUAAGGUGUAUUUGCAAGUGUGCUUGUGUGUUUGAAGGUUAGGGUGCAUUUCACUGACUGCUUGGUGACUUCAUCAACAUGGAUCUGGGAUUCAAAAACAAAAACAAAGAGUCAAUUAUUAUUUUUUUAAUUCAUUUAGGAAAAAUAACACCAAGAACAGCAACUUUUUAAGAGUGAAUUGGGCAUUAAAAAAAGCAAUAACAAUUUUAGUCAUGUUUAUCACUUAUAUAACACUUUAAGAAAUAUGGAAAUUUACAGCUCUAUAAUGCAAAACUAAUAAUAGCCAAUCAAAUGCUAGUUGUUUAGUCGAGAGCUAGUGCACAUAUGUUUAAUCAUUUAACAACCCUCCCUUUUGAAAAAAAAAAAAAAGAAAAAAGAAAAAAGCAAGGUCAAAAAUAAAUUACAUCCAUUAUUUGCAGCAGAUCUCCCCACAGCAUUUGGAGCGAAAACUGUUUUGAAUUUCAAUUGGCUUCCAAGUGGCAAAAGCCCUCAGCUAAUACAUCAAAGAAAAAUUGGUGUCAACUAAUCGGUUUAGGACACAGAUUUAGAAUGGUUAAAAAUCCCAUGAAUACUUCAAGCAUUUUUCUGUAUACCACUAAAGGCUUGGGAGCAGUACAGCUGACCUUGUGCGCUCCAGAAACCUGUCUGCCACUCGACAUUAACUGACUGUUUAACGCACCCAGCCACGCAAUUAGUCCGCCACAACGCAUAAUGUUGUGUAAUAAUAGCUUCUAUAUCCAAUUUAGAUUACGCUUGCUCCCUC